UUCAACUUAAAGAGGAGUUUUAAGGAGGUGGAGCAAAGCAACCGCUUGGAGCACAGUUUGAGCUCGGACUUGAGCUCGGAGGCUUUUGUGAGCAACAAGUACGCACGCUGCUGUGACCUGUGUUGACUUUGUGCCGCGCUCUCUGAGCUCUCUGACUUUUGGAUCUCUUCGCUCUGAGCGUGUCGAGGCUUCGGGGGCUCGCUUUUAUCUGUCUCCUCUCAAAGACGUGUUUUGUCAGAUGGAGCGACUCAAAGGGUUUCUGCACUGCACUUCCCUUCUUCUCUUGCUGUCUACAUUUUACUAUCUGUUAUGUAUGUUAUGCAGCGCUCUUUUGUGCGCUCUCUGAGAGGACAAAGAUAAGGCUUAUGAAAAAAGAAAGAUGGGUUAGAUGUAGGCAGGAGGGAGGGACGGGUAAGUCUUACUCAUACAGGAAGGAAGUACAGGAAAUGUCCCAUCGGGAAAACAAGUAGCGGCGUAAUUGUGAACCCUGGGCUCAUUUACUGUCUGGGUGGUCAUGAAAGCAAGGUACUGAUUUUGUGUGUAUCUCUGUGUGUCCGUGCAUGUGUGUAUUCAUGUUUCAAGUAAACACUUCUGUGAACUUGUAUGUUGAUUACACAGUGCUACUAACACUGUUCUUUGUUUAAAUCUGGAGAUUUGAGAUGGUUUUUAAAUGUUUCUCAGUGCCGAACACUGUAGAAGCAUCACGGCACUCUCACUGGGGUUAUCCUGUGUUUACAGCAGCUAUCUCUAUCAUUCUUGCUCAACCAAUCGCCACACGGUUUAAAAAAAGAGCUACGGGAAUUUGAACAAUGUUAAUGUCGUUAAGAAUAAUAAAAUAUGUCUUCAAUCUGACUCUGUUUUUAUGUAUUUUAAUAUUUUAAUGUCUUUUAAUGUGCAGUGUACUUUUGAACAAUAGAUAUAGAAGCUUAACAUCAGUGCUGGGAUUGGAGACGUCCAAACAAUAUUGGUAUUGAAUAUUGAAUUUAUAAUGGGAAAAGUGAUAAUGUAUUAUUCACCCAUUUAAGUUUAUAUGUAUCUUUAAUUUUCAAGCCGUUUGAUUAUUUUAAAUACUUAUAUACCUUGGUAACAUAAUCUAUGAGAAUGCAACUUAUCUGCAAAAUAAUAAAGCUUUAAAGUAAAGGGUACCAAAUACAGUGGAAAAAAACGAAAACAGAAUAACAUUGAAAUACUUCAAUUAAGUGCAUGCAUGUUAAAUCUGUACUAGACUAAAUGUACUCAGUACACUUGUACGGGUCCUAUUCCUCCUUUCAUCCAAUGAUGUUGAGUUUUGUAAGAUUAGUACUCUACUUCUGUGGCAUUGGUGGGGGGCAGUCAUGGCACCCUAUGCCCUCUUGCAGACACACCACUGGUCACCCCCUGGAUAAUCUGGCACUUUCUGAUCUUAGGCUGUAUUAAUAUAUAUAAUUGAAAUGGUGGUAAAGACUAACCGAGUCAAAGUCAAGUCAAAGUCAGCUUUAUAUGUACCAUAUGUACAGAUCAGACACAGGAAUUUGAAAUUGCAUUGCUCCCACAGCCCUCAGCCUACAAAAAUCAAGAGGUGCACAGCUAAAAAUGUGGCGCAAGGCAGCAGUUGUGACAUCACUUUUGGCACGGUCUGUAGUUCAGUUGUUCAGUAGUAGUAGUAGUUUACUCAGGACUGAGAUAAUGAAAAUGUUUUUUGAUUUUUGGUUCACAAAGCAAUAAAAAAAUAGUCCCUAACUCUAUGUCUUUUCCUCGCUGUCUAAAGCUUACAUGCAAAUUUCUUUCUUAUUAAAAUCCUAAGUGUUCAAUGAAUUUUAAUACUGUUUGUAGAAGCACAAGUUUCAAAUAAUACAUGGCAAGAUAUAACAUAAGACAUACACACGAGGAAAUACACUUCUGCAAUCUUCAGGAGGUUUUGCUUUAAAUCGACUUUUUAAAGCCUCUUUUUUUUUUUAUUUUAUCUGUCUGUUUUUAUGUUUCCCUACCUGUAUACCUGUUGUUUGCUUCCCCUUGUGGUGAAAGCAGGGUGGUGCAGGUGCCUGGGCUCAAUCUCCUGUGCCUACUGAGCUGAUAACAGUUAGAUGUUAACAAGCACUGGCUCAGUUCAGCAGGAACCGGAGUUAGGCCCUCUAGAAACAUCGAAUCAUCGAGCUGCAGUCUGAACCAACUGUCUAAUUACAACAGCACACGGCAGCAAUCUACAUGUGCAAUUAGCGUUUCCUAUAUACUGUACUACACAUGUAGCAUUAUAGCUGGCUUGCCUCCAACAGUAGUUGUGGGAUUUUUUUUUCUUUCCUCCUCUAAAAGUCCAUUAGACUUUUCCCACAAAUACUCAUCAAGGCCAUUCUCCAAGAAAAAGCCAGAGUGCAAUCAUCUGUUAAUGAGAGCAGAGGAAGCACAGACCCACACAUCUUCUCUUAAUUUAACUCUCGCAGUGUAAAGCUCGUGAUGGAGGAAAUCUGCUUCUGUUGGUUUGGUAUUACUAAAAAAUCACAGGAGCAGAGUUUUUCCAGCUGUAUUCAACACUUCUUAAGGUCCCAGGAAAAUUCCUUUGGAUGCGAUUUAAGCCAAGCCGUGUAUUUCAACAACUAUUUGACUUGCCUUCAAUUAGCUCCUUUUUGCUCAUAAAUCUGUGAAACAGACAGUUGCAAGUUGGCUACAUAAGCAAAGAAGUACUUAAAAAUUACAACCUUCUCACAAAAAAAGUAAAAAAGAGUACUUUCUACUUAUUUUAUUAAACCUGUUAAAUACAGCUAAUGCGAUAAUAAAGAUUAAACCCAGGUCAGGCUGUGGCAGAGCGUCUGGCAGAAUAAGUAAUACUGUUGUUACUUUUGAUAUAAGUACAUUUUGCUGGUUUCAGGGAAAUUUCCUAACUAGUUUAUAAGUGAUUACAGGAGGUUGCUGGCAGUGCUAGGUGAAACUGGUCACAAAGAGGUAAACAGUGUUGCACCAAAAAACCUCCUCGUGAUGGCUCUGGUUGGUAGCAGGUUGCCAUGGUUACCUGUAGUUUGUAUGGAAGACGCCGGCUUGCCUGCGCUCACCAACUACUUGCUGAAAUUGUGAAAAGGAAACAGAGAACAUUCGCCUUCAAAGUAAAUCUUUCAUGCAAACGUUUGCCAAUUACUUGCUGACCAGUUGUGAAACCAGAAAUGAAAAACUACUUUUACAUUAAGGGACCCAAUAUACCUGUCUUAUCACUAUGUACCAUUAAUACCAGCAGUUCAGACACGAGUACCUGCUGCAGUAUUCUCCUGAAGAAGGUUGUCACUCAGACAAAACCUCCACUUCAACGCUGCUGUAGAAGAAGUCAAAAUGGGAAGCAAGGAGGUUUUUUCUUUUAGGGUUUUUUUUUUUUUUGAGAAAGUCUCAUUUUUCAUACUGUUGCAACAUUUUCCUCUGUAUAAUCUGUGAAUCUCUGAGCUUCUGUAUAUCAUUUAUUCUGUAUGUUCUGUAUCAAUAAAAUGGUGGUAAAAAACCAA